rnacentral:rRNA from 1 species
AGAGUUUGAUCAUGGCUCAGGAUGAACGCUGGCGAGAUGCCUUACACAUGCAAGUCAUACGAGAAUUUUUAAUUCAAGUGGCGGACGGGUGAGUAACACGUAAGAAUUUGCCUUUAGGAGGGGGACAACAACUGGAAACGGUUGCUAAUACCCCAUAUGCUUUCGAGUGAAACGGAAUUUUCCGCCUAAAGAGAAGCUUGCGGCUGAUUAGCUUGUUGGUGAGGUAAUGGCUUACCAAGGCGACGACCAGUAUCUGGUUUGAGAGGAUGAUCAGACACACUGGAACUGAGACACGGUCCAGACUCCUACGGGAGGCAGCAGUGGGGAAUUUUCCGCAAUGGGCGAAAGCCUGACGGAGCAAUCUCGCGUGAGGGAUGACGGCCUAUGGGUUGUAAACCUCUUUUUUCAGGGAGGAAUAAAUGACGUGUACCUGAAGAAUAAGCAUCGGCUAACUCCGUGCCAGCAGCCGCGGUAAGACGGAGGAUGCAAGUGUUAUCCGGAAUCACUGGGCGUAAAGCGUCUGUAGGUGGUUUGAUAAGUCAACUGUUAAAUCUUGAAGCUCAACUUCAAAAUCGCAGUCGAAACUAUCAGACUAGAGUAUAGUAGGGGUAAAGGGAAUUUC